rnacentral:rRNA from 1 species
UGAGCAAUCUGCCCUUCACAUCGGAAUAACCAUUGGAAACGAUGGCUAAUACCGAAUAUGACUUCGGAUCGCAUGAUCUGAAGUGGAAAGCUCCGGCGGUGAAGGAUGAGCUCGCGGCCUAUCAGCUUGUUGGUGAGGUAAUAGCUCACCAAGGCGAUGGACGGGUAGCCGGCCGAGGAGGGUCGACCGGCCACACGUGGGACUGAGACACCGGCCCAGACCUCCG